AAUGAACGCUGGCGGCAUGCCUAACACAUGCAAGUCGAGCGAGACCUUCGGGUCUAGUCGCGCAUGGGUGCGUAGCGGGUGGGAUCCUGCCCAUAGGUUUGGAAUAACUCGCAGAAUGGGGUGCUAAUACGGGAUCAUAUCUUCGAACCAAAGAUAUAUAGAGUUUGGAUGGGCUGGCGUUGGAUACGCUUGUGCGUAGCGUAAAAGCCUCCCACGGGGACGAGUCAUAGCUGGUUAGAGAGGAUGGGCAGCCACACUGGGACUGAGAGACGGCCCAGACUCCUACGGGAGGCAGCAAUGGGGAAUAUUGCACAACCGGCGAAAGCAUGAAGGAGCACGGCCGGGAGAGUGAUGAAAGUCUUAGGGUUGUAAAGCUCUUUUACCCGGGAUGAUAAUGACAGUACCGAGAGAAUAAGCUCCGGCUAACUCCGUG
rnacentral:rRNA from 1 species